UUUUUUAUAUUAUUACUGUACUAUAUUUAGAAGUUUUAUUUUAAAAAAACCUAGCAGUUUGUGUGAGAGACCUGGGCCCCCGGCCCACAGGUGCACCAAAACAAGACGAUGCACCCUCAGCACGCUCUGACAGAAGCGAUGGACCCGGCGGCCUGGGGCGACGGGGGAGUGAUGGCAGCAAUUCCUGUGGAGGCAGUAGUAGAGCCGAAAGUGGGGUGAGUAGCUCCCGUGCCUCUAGCCAAGCCUCCAGUCAACCAGAUAGCAGUGCCAGUAGUGGCCAGUCUGUAAUUGCCCAGACCCAGACCAUGCCUCAUCCAACUGAACCACCUGUAUGACUAGAGGCCACCACGCGGAUGUGAGGACACGCCCAGGGCUCAUGGCCGCCACAGGGCCGGCGGUCUGAGCCCUCUCCGGCACAUGUGGUGCCGGAGGACCAUCCUCCCGCGUGGCACUCGCUCAAGCCCCGUGGCCGUGAACCAUCAUGGUCCCCGGAGCCACCACCAUCCCCUGUUCGUGGGCCUCAUGGUGUGCUUCCAGCAAGACUACGGGCUAGCCAAGAGACCCUGGAAACUAAAGAUUGGCCCCCUCCACCACAAGGAGUUGAGUUAGAUCAGCUUGCAGCUCCUCCUCCCCCCCGCGCCUUUAUGCCUGGCACUUGGUCACCUCGGCCUGAGCAUCUACCUCUAACAGCAGCAAGUACAGUAACUGCUAGUAGAGGUGAUCCCCGAAGUCCUGGAGCAGUUGCGGCAGCAGCUGUGGCAGGUAAUGCACAAAUAAUAUAUGACCAUCAUCCUGUGCGUCACGCAGCUGAUUGUCCUGCUCAUAGACUAGACAGUAAACCAGAGAGUGGGCGGUCAAGUAGUCGACCUGCUAGUCGGCCGAGUAGUCGACCAGCUAGUCGGCAAGGUAGUAGAACCACUAGUCGACCCACCAGUAGGUCAGCUAGUAGAUCUGGAAGCAGGUCAGCUAGUAGAUCUGGACACAGAUCGGGAUAUAGCUCGCCUGGAAGUGACCUGCGCUAGGGUCGCAGGUUCCUUAGGCCCUUAGCAGCCUUCUCCCCCAACGAGUCACUGCCCUAAACACGUGUGCAGCAGCAGCAGCAGCAGCUGCAGCUGAGCCUGUGGGUGUCCCUGACAGACGACUCACUCCGUUACGCUUGCCCCAGCUUUCUUCAUGUUUGUUGCCUCUAGUGAUAGCUGGAGAUGGAGGGCCCUUUGUAAUAGUUCAUCAGAUCUGUAGACAAUCGAGGGAGUGAUGUGGCGGCUGUCCUGCAAAAGUGCCAUCCCACCUGUUGAACUGAAUGCGUCCAGGGUGUUGCUUCCCGCCAUUAGAUGAUAUAACACUACUGCCAUCUCUGAGACCUCAGUUAAGCACAUAAUGGAUCAUCCAGGACAUGAGAGCACUUUAAAUCAUGGUUUAUACACAAACUAUGCAAUACACACAAAAAUCUCAUACUUGUGUCCUGAAUGUUGGAAAUCCAGUUAAUUAUACCUUGGAUAUUUAAAGAAUUGGUGUACUGUAAAUGAUAUUAGAAAUUAGCUCUGUAUCACAGACUUGCAUACCUUGAUCAGAGCUAAAGAUGUGAUAGUAUAGUACUGGAAAAAUUAUUUAACUGUUUCUGCAUAAAACAAAGUAACAGACACCAGUGUUUCCAAAAAGUGCCACACAUAUAGAGUUAGUGGACUGAGCUCGCUCAAAUAAUGUUUAGGAAAUAUUUAAAGGAGUUGCAAACAUUGCAGGCAGUUAUAAAUAGUAAUCAUCACUGAUAUAGGUGAACACACGAGCUAUGUGGUAAUACCAAGAGUAAGAGCUGUGAUGAUCCUUAUCUUGUGAAAAUUUGGCAGUAAAACCAUAGAACACUACCAGGAUUGCCAUUAGCUCUCUAUGGUAAUGUUAUAUGGGGGAAGCUAUGCAUUGAAACUAGUGAUACAGUACUAGGAAGAAUGGCAGCAAGAUCAUAAACCCAGUAAGGAGGUACAUAGUGCUCUUGAAUAGGCAGUGAUGUGCCGUCAAAGUGAAUGCAACAGUGAGUGAAUCGCGUCAGACACAGAACAUUACAAAGUUAAUUUUACUUGAAAUAUGCAUAAUUUACAUGAUGCUUUACAAAAAGAGGAAAUUGCUUGCUAAGGAAUCUCUAGGUUUUAGAAUUUCUGAUCAAACAGUAAUAUAAAUACGAAUUAGUUACAAUGUGUUGUUGGCAUUGUUGUUUAGUCAGACUACCAGGAUCUGCAGAGGAGCAUGGAGAGGAGACAGUCGGUGAGGUGGCCACAUGAGUGCACUAAUCUGCAGUGGUUUUCAGGGUCAAGCAAUGCCCACCACCACUGCUGAAUAGGAAGAGAUCAGAAGGGCUUAGUGCAAAUUGCAUCCACAUGCCACCCACUUAUACUGUGAAGAAAUAUGUGGAUUAGGCCUAGAGUAAGCGCUGCCCUGCUUGGCCCACCACAGCUGACAUAGAGAGAGGAUCAGCUGCCACCACCAUCCCCUCCAAUCUCUAGCCAGUUGUGGGUGGAGGCACAGGUGCCACCUUCCCCAUUUGGUGCUCGGUGGCUGGGUUGUUCCUAACAGAGGGGCACUGGUUGCCCUUACAGUUACUUGGCUGCCUUCUAUGUGUACACUCAGAUCUUGUUAGUUAGUAUGCUUUGUUCUACAAGAAAAUUUAGUAUAUAAUCAAUGCAAUACACGUUAAUGACAAUGAAUCUGGAUUAAUAUUUAAUUUCAUAUUAACAACUACAAUAACAUGUACUCUAAUAAUAUGGCUUUGCUGUAUCUUGGUGGAGAGCAUCUUCAUCCUAAUCAUCAUCACCACGAUGAUUAUCAUCAUAUGUUGAUGUAAUGUGUGGCAGCUGCACAUGUGGUAGCCCAGUGACCUCCUGUUAGGUGGCCUGGCGCACACUGCUAUGUAGGCUCAGCGUCAAUCAUUCCUACAUUUGUAAAUCUUUAAAUAGGUUUCAUUAUGUACAUUCAGCUAUUAGAUAUUAGGGGAGGGAAUUAGUGAUUUGCAGAGUACUAUUUGCAGAGUACUAUUCGAGAAUAGAAUGUGAGCACUUAACUGCAUUUCAUAACAUAUCAUGCUCUAUUGAAUUUAUUUAUUUUAAUUGAAAAGGAUUGUAUUAAAAAAUUCUUACAAAUUCAGAAAAAUCAAAAUUAAACCAGAAUAAUCUCUGAAAAGAAAGCAACAUGUUUAGUAUGAAAUAAUGUUUAGUCAUUACUUAUAAGUUUUAGGCCUAAAAAUGUAAUUAUUAGUUAGUCUUAUCAAAUCUAAAGCUCCAGUAAGCAUGCUAGGUAAGCAAUAUGCAAAAUACACUUGAUAUUUUACUUGUUGGUACAUAUUUUAAAUUUCUUAUAAGAAACAGUUGCGUUCCUAAUAUUCUUGCACUCGCCAUCUCUGGAUUUGUAAGAAUUUAUGGAUUUAUUUGAUUAUGUAAAAAUGCAUAGACAAAUUUAUUUAUUUAAUUAUUGAAAAAUAAGUUUUUAUCACUUUGAGACUGCCAGGAAAGUAAAUCAUUUAGAUUCUCAUUAAGCCACAAACAGUACCACCAUAUCAAGUUAGUUUGCAUGUUAAGAUUAUUUUUUUUUUUCUUUUUUUUAGUUUUUAGAUAUUUUUUAUUACUAAAACUUUCCAUAAUAACUUGAGUGUUUGGCAAUUAAGUAUGAGUAGCACAUACAUAUAAUAUAUAAAAAGUUAUAUAACUUAGCUUUUGCAUUAUAGUAAUAUAUACUGAGCCAAUUUUAAUAUGAAUGAAAGUUGGGGUUUAAAAUAGUUAGGGAAUUUUAAAAUUUAUCUUUACUCUUUACACAGUUGUAGAUUACGCUCACCAGUUUUUACAGAGUUGCUCGACAUGUGAUACAGAAAAGUUGUUAUUCUUGAAAGUUUGCUACAUUUUUUAUUGCUUUGUAUGAUCAUUGCUGUCUAAAUUUACAGAAAAAGAUGAUUAAGUGUACAGCCCAAUAUGAUGACAUUGUAUGAGAGAGAUGCCCUGUAUAGUUGAUAACAAUGAACGAUGUGAAAUGUGUCAUCCACUCUCCAUUGAUUCUCUCCCCUCUGGUUUGUUUAUAGUGCCAUAGAAUAUUGGGAUAGUUAAAAUAAUUUUUAUAGGGUUUAUGAAUUUCAAAAGAUUUCAGAUUUAUGCAGAGUCCCUUUACCUAAACCCUCACCACUGCCGCCAAGCAUACAUGGUAUGCAAGUGACGAGGAGAAAGUACUUGCUGGGAAGUGAUCGAUAUUCAGGCAAUAAUGAAGAAAACAUUCGUAAUUGGACAGUACUGCACUGUAUUUAAAUGUAUGUAUUAUACUGUUUUUUUAACUUUCAUCCUGUUAAAAAUAAAACCAUCUUAUAUCUUCAUUUGCAUUAGUCAUAAUCAGCCAGCUUCCUCUAAGGCAGUAUGAUUCAGAGAACUAAAAGAAAAAACACUCGCCAUCAUUCACUCCCUAGCUGUCUUUCCAGGGGCACAUGGACAUUAUGAUUCAAAUGUCUUGCUGAACCACAACAUCCCAUCCAUAUCGGAAGUGCAGGCAUGGUACUUUCUCCCUCUAGAACUCCAUUCUGGCUAACCAGUUUUCCUGAAUCCCUUUAUAGAUAUUACCAUGCUCAAUUGUUCAUACUCCAGCAGCAGGCCAAGUCCCACUAACCACUUGCCAAUCUAGCACACACACACAUGCUUGCUGGUUGCUCAAGUCCCUACCUCUAUAAACCUUCAUGCCCUCCUUCCAUGUCUUACUGAAACAUUCCUUACACCACUUUCCAUCCAACCCAGAUCUUAAACCCAUUUUAACUUAUUGUGCUCUAAAUAAGCAAACUGCUAUAUCUUAACUCCACUUCAUUUCCCUGAGGUAUACAUUUUGUACCACUAUAUAAUCUUUUAAUUUCUUAUUCUCCAAAUAAUGUUAAAACCUUACAAUGAUCUUAGUGCCAGUCUCUUCCUCACAACUUUUAAAAGCCAUCCAUACCUUACAUCCCUAAAAAAGCAAUGCCAUCCAUCAUCUGACUGAGGAAGGUCUGUAGACUGAAAAUAUUUUCAGUCUACAGACCUUGUACUGCUAAAUAAAUAAAUAUAUAUACAUACAUAUAUAUAAUAUAUAUAUAUAUCAUCAGCUGUCUCCCACCAAGGUAGAGUGACUCGAAAAAGAAGAAACACUAUCUCCAUCAUUAUAUUGCCAGAGGCCCUUCGAUACUACAAAUCAGAUUCCCCUCCAAACUGCAAAUAUCCCAACCCCUCCUUCUGGGGUAGAGGGGGAGAUUAGAGUAUUUAUUUAAUUUUAUAUUGCCCCAUCAUCUCUAAAUGUCCAAACUACCUCAACAACUCUUCCUUAGUCACUUAAAUAAUAUGCUUUUUAUAACCGACACAUACCCCAGACUAUAAAUUCUCUGCAUAAUAUUCACACACAGAUGUGUCUGAGGGCAAUUUGUAGAGUGAAUAUUAUGUGGAGAAUUCGUAGAGGGCUGAGGAUGGGUUGUUGAGGUGGUUCAGACAUUUAGAAAUGCUGGAGAAAAACAGGAGGCUUUGAAAAUCCAGCAUGUGUGAGCAUGCUAGAUAGUGAAUAGACAACCAGUUGUUUUUAAUGGAAGUGCUCUUGGAAUGUGAAUAAUGUAACAUGAAGGGAUUCAGGGAAACCAGUUAGCCAGACUUGAGUCCUGGAGGUGGGAAGGGCAUUACCUACAUUCUGAAGGAGGGAUGGGAAUGUUGCAGUUAGAGGACAAUCUGAUUUAUGAUGUCAGCACACUUCUGGCAACACAGCAGUUGAGUGAAUGAUGAUGAAUGGGUUUCCUUCUUUGGGUCACCCAACCUUGUUGGUAGAUGGCCAGUUAUAUUAAAAAUGAAAGAGAGGUAGGUAGGUGUGUGUAUUUAUUUAUGCACACUGUACAAUAUCAAAGUGCAGAGGAUACAUGUCAGCAGGUUGAGGAAAACUCUCAUAUAGAUGGAAACAAUAUGAAGAGUAUUUUAAUCUAAAUCUGAGAUGUUCAGCAGAGGAAAGGAGAGAGUAGGUUUAUAUAUGAAUUUGAUCACUAGACUACAUUCCCUGUACUACUGAAGAUCUCGGACAGAUAUCGAGUUUUUUUUUUUACACUAAAUUUGUAUACAUGUGGAUUUCUCCUCAAUUCAUAAUGUACUGGUAAACCCCUGCCUGUUGUGCAUCCACCUACUGCAUUUUCAUUUUGAGAUUCACAUUUUCUUCUUCCUUCAACUUUCAGUGUAAACCUACCCAGCUUCAUGCCGACGUGAUCAUUUUAUUAGUCCAGUUUUGAGCAUUGAAUUAUUUAGCAAGUGCAUUUAUACUGUGUGUGUGUGCUUAUUUUAUGUAUAUAUAAAGAGCUCACAUUUGUUUGACAGAAAUUGGUCAAGAACCAUAGAUUUUCAUAUUUACAUUUUAAUUGAGGUUGAAAUAUUAGUAUUUUUUCCUUUGUUGGUUUUUAACUAAAUCCAUUCAUACACUGUAUGAUCAGUUUAUGUAUGUAUAAAGAGCUCUCAUUUAUUUGGUAGAGAUUGGUCAAUAACUACAGAUUUAAUACAUAACUGGAAACCACGACUGACUAGAAUACUAGAUGUUGAGCACAUAAUGUCUGGAGACACAUGGCAGUGACUCCAGCCUGCCAAACUCUUUCACCCCAUACCCACCACCAACAUGAAGUGUGUUUACUUGUCUUUUUAUUAUAUCUCGUCUCUAAAUAUUAACCAUGAUCCAAGAUAUAAUGCUGGAGGUGCUAAGAAGAGGAAUUGUGUGUUGAAGAUAUAGUAGUCCCUCCCUGAUGUUGUAUUAGCUAUUCCUAUGUUCUCUGGAAGGAACACCCUUAUCUGUGAAAGGUAUACUUAACAGCCAUCCACUGCCAAGGCAGGGUAACCUGUAGAAGCAAACACACUAUCAUUCGUUCCAUUGCUGUUUUCCAGAAGUGUGCUGACACCACAAUCAGAUUACUCUCUGACUGUAAUAUCCCCAUCCCUACUUCAGAUUGCAGGUAAUGUCCUUCCUACCUCCAGGACUUGUACACCUGUGUAUGUUGUACUUGUGACAGUUAGGGAGUCCUUUGACCGUGUAGGUCACUCAGCACUUGCAGCCAUAAAAAAUGCAUAAUAAAAAACAUGGAUAAAAGCAACAAACACUCAACAUAAAUAAAUUAUAUCAAGUUAAAAUAGCCAACAUCCAUUCAUCCCCCUCCCCAACAUUAUAGCUUAGCUAUACAUCUGGUGUCCUUCUUUUUUGCAUAACAUUUUUUUAAAUUUUCAGUAGCUCUAAUACUAUAUAAUCCUGAGCUGUAUGGCCCAUAUGGUUUAGCACUUUUCUUCAAAUAUAUUAACCACAUCUUGAAGCCCAUUCUAGAAAUCUAAUACUUUUUGAAAAUAAAUAUUUUCUAAUAUCUUUUCUUCAUUUUUUGAAGAGGAGUUGUAAAUUAUCUUUGUGGCCUCUUAUUCUCCCUAUUGCUGGUUCCAAUUUUGUUUUUCACAUCCUCAUAUGUAUAGAUUUGCAUGCUCGAUUUCUAGCACACUUAGCUCACACACUGAGGAUCGAUCCCUGGUAUGGCUGAAAAACAUUAGGACGUGUUUCCAUAAGACACCUGCUGUCCAUGUCCACCUAUCAGUAAAAUGGGUACUUGGGUGUUAGUCGAUUGGUGUGGGUCACAUCCUCGGACAAAAUUGACCUAAUUUGCCCGAAAUGUUAUGCAUAACAAGGGGCUUUCUAUAUAGUAGUAUGUCACUGAUGUCAGCUAUGGUCUGUAUUGUAUACCUUGUACAUGUACUUGCAGAAAUAAAGAUAUUAAUAUUACAGUAUGCCAUUGCAAUUCGGGCAUUUCCAAAGUUUUCAGUUAUUAUUUAUAAGUUAUAUUCUAGGAUAUUUUGUUGCACAUCUUUGAACCUUUUCUCUUAUUAUAGUGCAUAACAUUUCAUAAACAAUUUAUUUAGCAUUCUCCCAUAUAUCUACAAAUAGCUAGUACAGCAGGGCUCCAACUUACGAUGUUAAUGUGUUCCAGAAUAUUCCUUGGUUUUUCAGCAUAUGGACUCUAUUUUCCUUAUCUGAAUUUGGUUAAUUUAAUUUCCCAAAGAAUUUCUAUCCACUAUUUUACAUUCUGUGCUGUUUCUUUGCACUUACAUGUGGGAGGUGAGAGGGUGGUGCAAACAUGGUGUGGUUGGGUGGAUGGUGUAAGCAUGGGGGUGAGGGGUUGGAAUGCGGGCAGGUGUUGUCAUUGAUCUCAGUACAAAUGUUUACCGAACACGCCCACAGCACAACCAACAUGCCAAACCAGGGUUUCACCUCCCUCCCUACUUCACCACCCACCCACUAACCAGUGAUACAGUAACAUGAAUGUUACAUCUUUAGCUCUUGACCAAUGUUUACCAAAUAGAUAUGAGUUCUCUAUAUAUGCAUAAAACAAGCACAAAGUUUAAAUGAAUAUAGUAAAGAACUAAUCAAGAAAAAUAUAUUGAAAGAGUAUGUCAUUGCUCGUAAAUAAAUAAUCAGUUCCAAAAUGCCAGUGCCAUAAGUGCAGAAACCUUAGAAGUCAGGUUCCUGCCGUAUCUUAAAAUUUGCUGUUUGGGCCUGCAACAAGUUAACUUAUGUUCAGUGGAUAUAUACCUUUUACCUUUGCUGAGUUUUUCUAUUAGUCUCUUCAACUACGCUGUUGCUGCUGGCCCACAUAUCCAACACAGCCUGGUUGAUAUGGCGCUUGGUAGAAAUAUUUUUCCAGUAGUGUUUCUGAUAUCUUUUGGCAAGAUCUUGAAUAGUCUGGGUCCACGGAUGUUGAUACAAUGUUAUCUUCUUGUGCUCAUCAGCGACUGGUGUUAAAACAUUUUUGACAUUGAAUUCAUGCCCUUUCUUGCCUUUGUAUAGUUUUUCAAUACUUUUUGUUUAUUAACCUCAUUUAUUAUUUCCCUGUUAUAACAUUCAUAGGUAGUGCUAAGCCCGUAGAGGUCAUACAGCACUUGGAAGAAUGGGAGGCAUUCAGAUUCAAUCCAAGGAAGGGAAGGGCAGGUACAAUUCUUUGGAUCAUAAACCCCUCAUCAACAUCAAGUAACUUUUCUUGAGGGGUCAGUCUUCUGUAAUACCUUGAUCGAUGCAAUUUCUUCAAAGUACUGCUUUAGGUGUGUGUACAGGUAUCCCUUGCUUUAUGUGGGAAGUGUGUUCCAUGCCUAUAGCAGCUGACUAGCUUUCUUUUUAUUUUCUGUUGACAUCCAGAGGUUUUCUUUACAAAUUUCUUGAGACUUUGUAGAAAAAAAAGUAUCUAUCACAUUUCUUCAUUCAUUAUCACUGUAUGACCCCUUCAGGUUUAGCACCUAGCUUAUUAUUAUUCAUUCAUAUCUUUAGGUAAUUAGAUGUUUUCUCUGAGUCUAUCUUCUUUAAACAUUAUAAUUAUUAAAGUAUAUUUGUCAAGUGCUAAUCCCAUGUGGGUCAUGGCUCAGUCCUCCGUCAGGUAAUUGCAAAACAGAGGAUCUUUCAACAGAACUUUAUUAAUACACUUCAUCCCUGCGGUUAACAUUCAAAGAUUACGUUCAUGGAGAAGCACUAGACCUUUAAGGACAUUCAUAAUAUAUGUGACCUUCAGAAGACAUGUUCUUGCCCAUUACUUACCUAUUCUUCUAUAGCUGCAAUAUGUUUAACUGGAUUAUUAUAAUUAAUUCCUUCUGUAGUUUUUUGUUUCUCUUCUCUGUUUAACAAUAUUUUUCCGCUAUUCCAUUUUCUUAGAGUUAUCUCUGCUUUUUUCAAUAAUUGUCUAUUUUUUCUCUUAAACAGUUAUUAUGGCCACUUUUAUAAAUUAUAUCUGACUUCACUUGCAUUCACCUCCAAACUAUGAUGUCAGCACACUUCUGGAAAGGCAGUGAUUGAAUGAAUGUUUUUUAUUCUUUGGGCCAACCUGCCUUGAUGGGAGAUGGCUGUUGCAUUAAAAAAAAGUGUGUGUGUGUUUUAUAACACAUUCACUCAGUUGCCAUCUUUCCAGAAGUGUACUGACAUUACAGUCAGAUUACCCUGACUGUAACAUCCCUACACCUAAUUCAGAGUGUAGGCACUGCCCUUUUCACCCCCAGGACUUAAAUCCAGUUAACCGGUUUCCCUGAAUCUCUUCAUAAAAGUUACCCUGCUCACACUCCAACAUGUCCAUUAAAAAUGGCCUGUCUUCAUGCACUCCUAUCUGACACAAGCCUCUAAAACUCAAAAGGAUCUUUUAACCCCUCACAUCAGCCAUUUCUGAGAUGACCCCUUACUCUCCUACCUUCCACCCCAGAUUUUCACACCCUUUUUGUCAAACCACCACAGCUCUCUACAUUAUACCCUUGGUCACCUCAUAACUCCUUUUAAUUUCUAUGCUCUGAAUUCUCUGCAUGAUAUUUACACCACACCUUGCUCUCAAAUAUUACAUCUCUGCUGUCAUUACAGAAGUGAAACUACAGCAAUAUCCUGAUUUCUUUUCACUCUAAGCACAGGAUUUUAAGCUUUGUAAUACAGUUGGCCCCCCACCUUUUGGAAGGGUUAAGUUCUUGAAAUCAGAGCUCUACAUGACAUUGCAGUAGGGGGGUGAAGAACUUGGGGAAUGUAGUGAAAUUUUUUCCCUAAGACCUUGAAAAAAGCCAAACUGUUUUUUAAAUUCUUACUUUGUCAAAGUUAAUAAAGUUUUUGUGCCUGACACUAAAAAGUUGUUCUGUGUUCAUCUAGAGAGGGUUCAAUGUUGCCCUACUAGGCCAAGUUGGAUACUCAUAAACAAGUGCACUAAGUCAGUGUUUGACUUGACUGGGUUAUCUUAAGGUAAAUCUACAAAAUGUUAUAUGCCCGUAAUGUGUGCACUGUCAAAACCAUUGCACAAAAAUUCGUAUGUUACAUAUAAAAAAUGCAGUAGUAUUUAUGACAUUUACGGAGAACUUUUACUGCAUGUGUCACCCAGUGUUCAGAUCCAUAAAAUAUAUAUAUAAAACAAAGUCAAGGGACAAACAUGUACUCAACACAAAUACAUUACAUAAAAUGUAAAUAAAAAUUUACUUGGUAAAUAAUUUUUUUUAAGGCCUAGGGUAAGGUGGUGGUUGAUGUAAUUUAUCUCUUCCAUAAGCAAUGGGAGUUCCUUCUAGAGAUGAUGGGCAGGCUCAAUAUGCUCUAGUGAAUAUUAUAACUUCAUUCCAGUCAUUCAUAACUUUCAUACACAAUUUUCUCCUUUAGAAUUAGACUGAUACCUCCCCCCCCCCCCCCAAAAAAAAAAAAAAAAAAAAAAAUAUUUUUUUUUACUCUACCCUAAAGUCCUUGUUUUUCUUUGCUUAUGGCUAUAGAAGUGUGUAGGGAGAUGGCUAAUGUGGCCUUACUUCUCCACAAACAUGCCAGGAAAAUUUUUGGUGCUCCUAUAUCACAUGAUGAACUCCACCUUUCCCUACACAAUUUAUUCCUUAGAAUAUGCUGAAAAGCAACCCUUGUUGCUAUAGAAGUGUCUGGAGAUGGUUAAUGUAGCUUUCUCCACAAAAGUGCAAGGAAAUUACCUGGCACCACUGCAUCAACCAAUCACUGCCAUUCUCUACUUUUUUUUUUGAACACCAAGACUUUCUUAGUACCUCCAGCAUUCUAGUAAAUAUGUAUUCCUUUUUGGUACCAAGGUUUAUAUCCAGAGACAAGACAAGGUGAUAAAACAUUGAAAAUGGAGUGAUAAACACAGGUAUGGCAAGUGCUUAUAUUAGAGAAUUAGUUAAGCUCUCACCUGCACAGGCAUAACAGCUGGCCACUUUGGAGUGAAAGAUGAAAAUAGGUUUCAAAAGAUGUAUUGCAAACUGGUGGAAGUGCAUUAGCAAUAGGAUGGAGGCCUACUGUACUAUCAAACAAUUCUCCUGGAUCUCAUAAGUUCACUAGUCAACUGAUGUCUAAAGAAAUAGCCUUCUUGCACUCUUAAAUUGUUGUAACUUUAACCUACUGAGUUUAUAACUAACAAUUGUAGCUACCGGAGUACAGCUAUGCUUGUGGUGCUGUAUAGCCCUUGUGGCUUAGCGCUUCUUUUUGAUUAUAAUAAUAUGCUUGUGGUGUCCAGUCUUCUUCAUUUACAGUACUGUAAUCAGAAAUACAUUUAACAUUAUUUUUGUUCACUGUAACUUAUUUUUCAACAUGUAUAGCUAUUAAAAAUAAUUACUAUCAUUUUAACCCAUGCAGGUUUUUCAGCCUAAAUUUAUUAAAGGGUCAUAAGGUAUUUUGGGAAAAAAGGGAGGUGGCUGUAUUGGGGUGAGGCAUAUGAUAGUAUGACUGUUUUUUGUUUCAUUAAACAUGUGAUUCUAUUUAUGUGGGGACUUACAAGAUAAGCCAGAAGGCAGUUGUAUUGGUGGUGGUGGCGGCAGUGGGUGAGGUCCCUCUGUUAUGGAGCACUGUCAUCUCAGUGCCUGGAUGUGGUUGGCAGAACAACUCAUCUGAAGGUGUAGAUGUCACUGCUUCCCAUCCCAGGUGUUUGGUAGCAAUGCAACCAACACCAUGACAUAUAACACAUGCAAUGUUUAAGGGCAUGGGUUAUUGCAGAAUUGUUACCCCUCCUUGCAGGGUAUAUAGCAGGUACUAACAGCUGGAACAUGUGAUGGGUUUCAGAACAAUGCUUAUCCAGUUAUAAUCUAUUAUAAAUUAAUAUGUGCCUGGAUGGUGUUGGUAGCUUUAAAAAAGUCAUAAAUGCUAUACAGAACUUAGAAAAAGUGAUAAAUUAUCCUUAUCCAGACCUCUCUCUCUCUUUGCUUAUGUACAUACUUAAGUGAAAAUAGUCUUUCAACUGUACGUGUAGUUGUGCACACAACACCCAAGUAUAAUUUAUGUUUGAAUGAUCUGAAGUAUUCCUGGGAACAUGGGCAACUGCUAUAAUCACAUUUGAAUCCACACAAAAAAAUAUGCAGAUAUUGAAAUUGAUUAUGCUUGUACGAUGAGUAGUCAUACUUUAUGUAUUGUAAUGUGAUGACAAUUAGGAAAUUAUAAUAAAAAGGUUAUACUGUAUGUAGUGGAAUCAUUGAGGUAAUACACAUUUGUGAGAAGAUCCACAACUUCCUGCAAGUGUAAUAUUGUAACACCUGUAACUAAUGUGAAAAAUAUACACUGCCCAGGUAAAAUUGUGAUAUUGUGCCUCAUUGUGCUGGUAAUGCUGUAAAUUUGUAAUAAUUCUGCCAUCUCUAUCCAGGCACUGCUGGGGCAAGGUUUGGCAGAUGUGAGCACUACAACCCAUGCUCUGUUUGUUAUAAAGCCUGUUACUGGGUGUGGGUUGUAUUGCACCAAGUGCCUGGCAGUAGGUGACUGUAUGAACCAAUAUGUGAUGUGGAUGACUUUGGUGUGGGUUUGUUCUGCCAAUGCCUUACACCCAGAAGAAUGUAGUAAUCUUGCCAAGACUAAUGCUCCAUGGAACACCUAUGAUCCAAAGUAUUAUUAAUGUUUCUUAUAAGUGGUUAUAUUGUCUUUCUAUAAGACAUUCGAAUGUUGACAGUGUGAAUGAAACUGUUUGGUUCCCUGCGCUCGCCCCCGCCAGGGAUGAUCUGCCCACCGGCAUUGGUACAUCACUUGAAGCCAUCUCAUGUGGUCAAUGGUGAUUUAUAAAGGUCCACAGGCCCAUAACAAUGCUGGUGCAUACCAGCAAAGUAAAGGGGUGUGUGGUGGGCAGGUGGUGGUGGUUGUGUCAGGGCACCAGUCAGACUGGAGAGUAAAAUGCUCGAUUGCUGGUACAGCUUCUAUGCUGUUACAUUUUGUCACUAGUGGCAGGUGAGCCAGCUUCACUGAUUCCAUCUCACAGCCACCAUCACCUUUCAUGAUCAUCAUCACUGGAGUGCCACAAGCAGCAGGGCAGCGUGGCGGCGGGGGCGGCGCGGCCCUGCCCUUGCUCACUAGCGCAGUGGAGGCAUGCUAGGCUACUCACUGCCAGAAUGGUGGUAGUAUGUAACUUGGCAUGCUUACCAAACCUCAUAGUACUGAUACUGCGCCCUGUUUAAAGGCUACACUACCCACAGUUUGUAACCUGUUACUGAAUAAACAUUGUAUGUUCUUCUUUCAUAAAA